UACAUGGGGUGCAACCGUUGCUCGGAAUUAUUGGGCGUAAAGCGCACGUAGGUGGUUUGUUAUGUCGGAUGUGAAAGCCCUCGGCUCAACUGAGGAAGUGCAUCCGAAACUGGCAAGCUAGAGUAUGUAAGAGGGUCGCGGAAUUCCCGGUGUAGAGGUGAAAUUCGUAGAUAUCGGGAGGAACACCGGUGGCGAAGGCGGCGACCUGGGACAAUACUGACACUGAGGUGCGAAAGCGUGGGGAGCAAACAGG
rnacentral:rRNA from 1 species